rnacentral:lncRNA from 1 species
UGUUUAACCUCUUUGGACCAUAGAAUUUUAGCUUUAAAACAAGAGUUAGACAAUAGAGGUCUCUGAGGGUCCUUCCAACUCUAACAUUUGGUGAUUUUAUUACUUGAAAUCCACUCUGGGUAUGUCAUCUUCUUUCUCUCAUAGGUAAUAUCAUAUAACUUUGAAGAGUUUUGUGAUGUGAAUCACCCAAAAUACUCUAUUUUUUAAAGCUAUCCGAAGUGCAUAAAGGUAUACUCUGCUUUGUCAGAAUCUCUUUUGUGAUCUAGGACAAGGUAUAUUAUUUCAU